rnacentral:lncRNA from 1 species
GUUCGUGUUGCCAAUCUUAAGUUUUCUAUGCAAUACUUUGUGAACGUUUUCUCGUCUGUUUUCUUUUAGUCAUAGUUUCUAACUUGUAAGGUUCGUGUUGCCAAUCUUAAGUUUUCUAUGCAAUACUUUGUAGACGUUUUCUCGUCUGUUUUCUUUUAGUCAUAGUUUCUAACUUGUAAGGUUCGUGUUACCGAUCAUUAGUUUUGUAUGCAAUACUUUAUGGACUGUUUCUAGUCUGUUUUCUUUUAGUCAUAGUCAUCCACUUGUAGAGUUUGUUUUCCUAAUCUAAAGUUUUCUAUGAUAGUAAUGUUUUCCCACUUGUAGGGUUCGUGUUGCCAAUCUUAAGUUUUCUAUGCAAUACUUUGUGGACGUUUUCUCGUCUGUUUUCUUG